UACGUAGGGGGCAAGCGUUGUCCGGAUUUAUUGGGCGUAAAGAGCGUGUAGGCGGCUAGGUAGGUCCGUUGUGAAAACUCGAGGCUCAACCUCGAGACGCCGGUGGAAACCAUCUAGCUAGAGUCCGGAAGAGGAGAGUGGAAUUCCUGGUGUAGCGGUGAAAUGCGCAGAUAUCAGGAGGAACACCGGUGGCGAAGGCGGUUCUCUGGGCAUUACCUGACGCUGAGGAGCGAAAGUGUGGGGAGCGAACAGG
rnacentral:rRNA from 1 species